rnacentral:lncRNA from 1 species
AGGAAACAAAUAAAGAGUAAUCUCUAUGUGAUGUAUCAGCAAAUGGUACGGUCCGCCAAGACCGCUUCUUGUUUCCAUGGAGCGGCGUACCUUGGCGGUUGUGAAUCGGAAACCGAUAUCAGUUGUACUCCCGAACCGAGAGGUGGUACCAUUGAGAACGGUGCUCACAUCGCCGUUCACAAGUUCGUUGGUGCCGAGAAUCCACCUUAUAACGAAGACAUGGGGAGUUUCUAUUCUGCUGGUAGAGACCCUUUGUUCUACGCUCAUCAUGGCAAUGUUGAUCGAAUGUGGAACAUUUGGAAGACAUUGCCAGGGAAGAAGCGACGUGAUUUCGACGAAGAUGUUUGGCUCAAUUCUUCGUUUCUUUUCUACGAUGAGAAUGCAAAUAUGGUUCGCGUUAAAGUUCGCGAUUGCCUUGACUCUAAAACUUUGGGGUACGAUUACCAAAGUGUUGAUAUUCCAUGGCUUAGAAGCAAGCCAACACCUCGAAGGAGUCGUCCUGGUGUGGGAAGGGAUCAGGAUCAGGGUCAGGAUGUAGCAGCCAGACGAAAGAGUAAAAACUUCAGGCGUUUUCCAAUAGUUUUAGACAAGGUGGCCGUACGCAUUGAGAUUCCAAGGCCAAAUAAGGAACUAAGAAUAAAGAAAAAAGAUGAAGAAGAAGUAUUGGUUCUUCAAAACAUACAGCUAGACAGAAAUGACUCAGUGCAUUUCGAUGUCUCCAUUAAUGACGAUGAAGACGACGACAACCCUUGCAAACCGGAAGAUGCGCAGUUCGUGGGGAGCUUUUCGAGUUUACCGCGCGGAGAUAGUUGCCACUCCGAGGCGAUGCUUAGUACAAAUCUGUAUUUGGCAUUAUCAGAUGCGCUGGAGGCUUUGAAGAUUCAAUUUGAAGAUACCAUUGUGGUGACUUUGGUGCCUAAAGAAGGGGAAGUUUCGAUUGGUAACAUUAAGAUCGACUACGUUUGUUGAUUUGGGGGUGAAUAUUUUGCUUCAUCCUUUGUGUUCUCGCUAGAUCGGAUUGAUGGGGUUCAUCAAUUUGUUUCUCGCAUGUGUCUUUUUUUUUUUUUAAUAAAAAUAUCAAGCUAAAUGAACAAAAGCAGCGGCAGCUUUAUCUUGCUCAAGAAGAUAAUCAACUCCCUAAAGGCGCCUGAUAUUUUCUGCAUAUCAUCAAUUCAAACAGGAGAUAUUUUAGUUAACCGAGUAACCACUUGAUUUCUUUAACUAUCCAAGACUUCUUGCACUGUAAAUAGCUCUGAAUGCUUCCAAGUAAUCUGUCUAAAUUAAAGCUUUGACAUAUAUAACAAGAGUAACUCGUCCGAGAUACUCUAGAAUUCAACAUUAAAGACUGAAUAAAUAUCUAAAUUAUGAUUGAACCCGACAAUUUAAUCUUGCCAAUUUUUAUUAUUAAAUUUUACCAUUUACUUUUUGUAUUAUUUAUAAAUUUUAAGUCCAGCUUUAUAAAAAAAUAUCAUUUUAGUUCUUCAUUUAAUUUUAUCUCUUUUUAACCCUUAAACUUAUGUUGUUUGUCAAAUUGUCUCAAAAUAAAUAAAAUAAAUUAAUAUCUAUUAACUUACUCUAGAAUUCAACAUUAAAGACUGAAUAAAUAUCUAAAUUAUGAUUGAACCCGACAAUUUAAUCUUGCCAAUUUUUAUUAUUAAAUUUUACCAUUUACUUUUUGUAUUAUUUAUAAAUUUUAAGUCCAGCUUUAUAAAAAAAUAUCAUUUUAGUUCUUCAUUUAAUUUUAUCUCUUUUUAACCCUUAAACUUAUGUUGUUUGUCAAAUUGUCCCAAAAUAAAUAAAAUAAAUUAAUAUCUAUUAACUUUGUUGACACAUCCACGUGUAUGCCACAUCAACAUUUACUUAAUUCUUUUUACAAAAUUAAAAAAAUUCUGAAACAUUAAAAAAGCUUUAAAAUUAUAAAAAAUUUAAAAAUUAUAAGUUUUAUUUAAUAAUAAAAUUAUAAUAAUAUUCUAUACAUUUUAGAAUUUUUAAAAAUUUUAAUCAGUUAUUAACGUGACAUACACGUGGAAUGCCACAUAAACAAAAUUAUUAAGCGUUAAUUUUUCUAUUCAUUAUAAAGUGCUUUGACAAAAAAACGCUAGUUUAACGGUUAAAAGUGGCGAAGAUUAUAUGAAGGGUUAAAAUGAUUUUUUUUAUAAAAUUGAAGGACUAAAUAAGUCAUUAUGCCUAAAUUUUAUCAUAUUUAUAAAUAAAAUUUUAAUUUUACUAAAAUAUUUGAUUAAAUAUAUUUACUUUAUAAAAAAAUUGUCAUACUUUUAUAAGAAUUUCGAGUCAAUUAAAAUACUUUUAUUAAAUGAAUUUAUAUAAUAAUAAAUAAAUUUAAAUUUUAUAUUGAAUUAAUUUAUAUUAAAUUAUUAUGUUUUCAUUAACCCAAAAAAGUUAUAUUACUUAUUUUUAAAUGAAUUUUUUAAUUAUUUAUAUGAUAGGUAGCUUUAUAUUUUACAUGCAAUAUUUUAUAAAGAAUACAUUUAUAUAAUCUAAUCUAAUAGAUUAUAAUUAUAUGAAGGCUUGAUUCGCAAAUUGGUACCUAAGUUAUGUUAUUUUUUCCAUCUUGGUAUCUAAACUUUUUUUUUUUUGUUAUCAGUCAUCCUUAAGCUAUUUUUUCCCCAAAUUGGUAUAUCUGUUAGUUAACCCAUUAAGUCUAUUUAAAAAAAAAGUUCAACCCACAAAUUAGUACCUCAGCAGUACUCUUUUUCUCAAAUUGGUACCUAAUUUUUUUAUCAUAAGUGAUACCUAAACUAUUCUUCCAUCACCAUUUUACACCAAAAUAUUAUAUUCGUUAAAAAAAUUACAACCAAUUAUAGAUUGUCACUUCAUAUAAACUUUUAAUUUUUUUAACUUUUAUUUAUUUAUUUUACAUUAAUUCUGUCUUUAUAUAUUUUAUUUAUUUAUUUUUCUUCCUUUAUAAUGCCUAGUAAUACCAACAAUACUUAAAAUUGAUUCGCUCGAGGUUGAGACACCGGUGAUUAAUUCUGUUUUGAAAUUUCACCAUGUUGAUUAAACCUUAUAUGAAUUAUAUUUAAUUUGAGUUGGAAUCACAAUAAAUAAUUAUAUAUAUUUAUGCAAGAAAUUAAGAAUUUUAUAUAGUUCAUGAAUAAUAUAUAAUUCAUAUAAGGCUUAAUCCAACAUUCACCCUUCGGCAUUUCCGGCAUACCAACAUCUACACCAUAUCAUCAGUGGGCAGCCCAAUCACUGACUUCUGUCGACGAACAGGCUUACACUCCGCUGCAAACAAUCCCAUCCACUCCAAGCGGCCAUAAAUCAACCCCAACAAUCGCCCCACACCAUCCUUGAACACCCCACUCCAUCCCCCAAGCCUUUCUUCACUCUGAAUACAAUACAUAAAAUAAAAAUGAAGAGACGACUCUCCCAUCUGCAAGGAAAGGAUGUUGCCCCCUUUCAACCAACCAUUCUCAAACCAUGGUUCAUGCCACCAACCAAGCUCACUUACCACCAAUAAUGGCUCUAAUCCAACAAACAGAUCGCAUUUUGCAAAGGAAAAUGAUCUCUUCAGCAAUCCACUCUUUUCCAUUAAGUAUUAAUUCAUUCCUAGCUAGCCACAAUGACCAUAACAUAGCGCCACAAGCAACAAGCCACUUCCUCUUAACAUUCGAUCUUCCAAACAUGCAGCAACGUACACAAAAUCACUGACAUUCCAAGGAAUCACCCACAUAACACCCCACCAUUGAAAAACAGUCCCUAAGCUUUCCAAGAGGAAGAACGAAAGAAAAAAAUUAUCACAAUUCUCUUCAGCAUCAUUGCACCAAGAACAAUUAACACAACCAUUAACUGUUGGAAAUACCUCGAUCCCUUAAAAAUGCAUUUUGAAGGUAUACCAUUUUGGAGUAACAGCCAUAGGAAGCAUUGCACCUUUGUUGGAACGCAUAGCUUCCAAAUGAAAGAAAACCACACCUUUUGAUGCGCCAAAGAACCUCACAAUCAAGAGAAAACACAACUUUCUUCACAGUACAUUUCCCUUUGCUGUCCACCUCCCACAUCAACUGAUCUGCCUUGUUCUCAUUUAAAGAGACCCAUUUGAAAAUCUGCCACAACUCCAUCGCAGACCCCCUCUCCUGUUCAAACAAAUCUCUUUUGAAAAAUCUUUCAUCCUUGUGAAGACCAUCCCAAGCCUCGUCCACCGUGAUAUUUUUCUUCAAAGCCAAGAAGAAAGUCUGGGGAAUCUGUCUUUCAAAGCACACAGUCCAACCCAAUGAUCCAUCCAAAAUGAAACUGAUCUCCCACUGCCGAGGCGCCAUAUAAAGCUUCCUUCACCUAACAUUUUGUCCAUCCCUUCGUGUCUUCUAACUUCCACAACAUUGGGAAUUCACCACAUUGGGCCUCCAACGAUAGUUGCUAAUACCAUAUUUUUCGUCCCUAUUAUUGAUGUGGUGAUUGUCAAUUUAAUUCUUACACAUUAAAAGUACAUAAAAAUAUUUUUAAAAAAUUAAAAAUUAAAAAUUAAAAAUUAAAUUUUUUUCUUAUUUCCAAUAAAAAAUUGUAAAAGGUUUACUAAAAAUUAUGAAAUGCAUUAUUUAAAAUUUAAAAUUAAAUAAAAAAUUCAAAAAAAUAUAAAUUAUUUCAAAAAUUCAAAAAAAAAAAGUAAUAAAGUCUAGAGUUAUCCAUAAAUUGGUUUGGACAAAGGUUUUAUGUCUCAAGCUGAGACCAAACCAAAAUAGAAUUUAAGUAAUCUAAAUAUUUUUAAAUUUAAAUUUAUUACAAAAAUUAAUAUAAAAUAUAUGUUUAAUAUUUUAUUAUUUUAAACAAUAAAACAAGUUUUUUUAGACGAGCUAAACCAAAAAAAAGCUUAACUGCAAGACCUGACCAGGCCUAAUAAGAAGCUUCAAUCUUCUAUGGAUGACGACUCAACGGUUAGUAUUAUUGUGAAGGAUAUUAAGGCAAAAAGCAAUAGGUCUGAGAACUUAACUUUUCGAUUUGUACCGUGUCGAUUUAACAACUCCGCACAUGUGCUCGUUAGUAUAGGCUAGUCAUAUUCUUGUUCCACGGACUAGAUGGAGGAAACCUCGGUGGCUGUCGAAAACGCUGCGUGUUAAUAUCUAUGGUGAGUUUUCAAUAAAUUGAACAAGAACUAUAUUGAAUAUGAAGAGAAUGUAUUAAACAAGAAAGAACUCUUUUGUAUUUAGACUAUUAGCUUGAUAUGUAUAUUGCAAUCAUGGUAUUUAUAGAACAUAUGAUUAUCUGUUACUACUUAACAACUUAACUAUUUUGAAUAACAAACUAACAGUUAGGCUAGAUGAAUAACACUCUUAACAUUCACCUAUCUUCUCGACAGGUAAAACUCGGAGAAGAUCUCGAAAUCUAGCAAAAGACGAUAUAAAGAGUGGCUUGGUAAGAAUAUCAACAACCUGUUCACAGGCAGGAACGUCACCAACAAUAAUAGAUCCAUCUGCUACUUUCUCACGAACGAAAAAUAGAUCGAGCUCAAUAUGUUUGAAUUUCGAAUGUAAGACAGGAUUAGCAGCUACAACAACAACACUAGAAUUGUCACACCAAAUGGUAGGGGGAUCAAUAUUGUGAAGAUGUAACUCUUUUAGUAACGAAACUAACCAAGUAACAUCACUGGUAGCUGCAGUAAGACUCCGAUAUUCAGCCUCAGUCGUAGACCAUGAAACUGCCUAUUGUUUCUUGAAACACCAUGAGAUAGGUGUGUAACCAAAAUACACACAAAUAUCACAGGAUUCGUUUUGAAACAACCAUAUAAACAGUAGCGGGCGCAUGCAUGAACUGGCAAACACAAUUCACAGCAUUAGCAAUAUCAGGACGAGUCAAGACCACAUACUGUAAAGUACUUAGAAGACUUUUGUACUCAGUAGGGUCAUCAAGACAAUCUCCGUCAUUCUUGGACAAAGUAGACUAGCUAAUCAUUGGAGUAUGAACACUUUUUGCAUGAGUCAUAAAACUCCUAUCAAGUAAAUCGUGAAUGCACUUCCUCUGACAAAGAUGAAGGCACCCUGUGGAGGAACGAGUGACCUCAAUCCCUAAAAAAUAGUGUAGAUCUCUCAUAUCUUUAAGUGAGAAUUUGUCAUUUAACUGCUUAACAAAGCUAUUUAUACAAUCAGACAUACUGCCAGUAAUGAUAAUGUCAUCCACGUAGACAAGCACAUAAAGGAUGGAGUUAGUCGUAACUUUAACAAACAAAGAUGCAUUAGAUUUGGACAUAGUAAAGCCAACAGAAAGAAGAUAACACUUCAGUUUAUCAAACCAAGCACGCGGAGCUUGACGAAGCCCAUAUAAAGCUUUCUUCAGACGACAGACUAAAGGCCUGCCAGUUGAGCCAUAUUGAACAUACCCUGGAGGUUGUUGUAUGAAUACCUCGUCAACAAGAUCACCAUUCAAAAAUGCAUUAUUCACAUCUACCUGACGGAGUUGCCAUCACUAGAAACAACAACAGAUAAAAUGACACGAGUAGUAGCAGGUUUUAUCACGGACUGAACGUUUCUUUGAAAUCAUACCCAGGCACUUGAGAACACCCUUUAGCUACUAAGCGAGCCUUUCGACGGCCAAUUGUACCAUAAUGAUUUUUCUUAACUUUGAAAAACCAUUUACAUCCAAUUGCCUUAUGAUUAGAUGGUAAUUGAACAAGAUCGCAGGUGAAAUUAUUGAUGAGAGCAUCAUAUUCUGCCUGAGCCGCAGCUCGCCAUUCUAUGGUGGAAAGGCUUCUUCAACCAUGAGGUCUAAGAACUUCAACUGACAAUGCCUUAGGCUUAAAAAUGUCAGCCUUAGACCGAAUAACCAUCGGAUGAGUAUUUGCUGGAGGCAAAGAUGAUGACGAUGGAGAGAAAGAAGUAUUAGCAAUAGGUACAACAGCAGACGGAGUAUCAGCAUUAUUGUGUAAAGAAUGUGGCUUAUCUACCUCAACCUGAGGAUUGGUAGAGACAGAUGGCGAAAGGAAAAAACCAAGAGGUGAAGAUGAUACACGUGGUAGAACAGAUGAAGACUCCAAAUGCUGAGAAGGAACGUUGACUUAGUACCAGACGAAGCCAUGAAAUCCCUUGUAGCAGGUAAAGGAGCCAAGAACCUUUGUUCAUUAAACAUAACAUGACGAGAAAUAACAACCGUACCAUCCAGCAUAAGACAUUGAUAACCUUUGUGUUGGGAGCGAUAUCCCAAGAAUGUACAAGAUUGAGAAUGAAAAUCCAACUUAUGAGACAAAAAUGGUCGUAAGUACAGAAAACAACAACACCCAAAUACUGUCGAUGAUCAUACGUGGGAUCUUGUCCAUAAAGAGCCUUAUAAGGAGUCUGGCCAUGCAGAACUGAGGUAGGGAGACGAUUGAUGAGAUGAACAGCACAACAAAAUGCACAACGCUAAUAUUUCAUAGAAAGAUUCGCUUGAGCCAAAAGUGUAAUACCCAUUUCAACAAUAUGCGGAUGUUUGCGUUCAGCCGCCUCAUUCUGUUCAAAACUAUGUGGACAAGACAACCGAUGAACUAUCCCUUAAGUUGUUAGAAUAGACGUGAAAGUGCGAAAUUCGCCACCCCAAUCACUCUAAAAUUGUUUGGUAUUUUUCCCGUAUUGAGUUUUGACAAGCUGCUGAAACUGAGCAAAACAAUCGACUGCUUGAGACUUUUGGCGAAUAAGAUAAAUCCACGUAAAUCGAGUGCACAUCUCAACAAAGGACACAUAAUACCAAUUAUGACCACAUGCAACUGAUGCAGGCCCCCAUAGAUUAGAAACAACCAAAGCAAACGGUUCACUAUAGCUUCAUCCAGUCUGAGAGGUUGACUGGUUUCAAAAUAGGAACAGCUAUUCCGUGUCCACUAAAGUAGAAGAACAGGACAUCUCCUGGUCUAGCAGUGUGUACCAUUUCAUAAAGUGCAGCCUUGAUUUUUAUACCCGUAGGCAUAGCCAAUGAGUCUGGUAUAUAAUUGUCAAUCAAAGUUAAACCUUCUCAUAAUCAACCUUCUUAUGUUCUCCACAUCAUUUAUGCAUCCUUUCAGGUUGUAAGGGGUCUUUGGGUAAUUACAACCCACAAGAACAGCUUUCUUUUUAUGCACCAGCUUGUUAAUCAUGGGUAAGGCUAAGGGUGUUGGAAUGGUGGCCAGGAAAGCUGUACCGACAUUCUUAUCACUGCAAUAAAGGCAUAAGGGUGUUGCUCGUGAAAUCCAAGGCUGGUUAUUUCAUCCCUAGCAUUCAUCACAAGCUGUUUAUUAGUUAAUGUACCAUUGGUCUCGUUGAUAAUCUUUUGAAGUGAAUAUAUAAGGCCCCAUACGCCUUUCCUUGGGUUUUGUCACUCGGUUCCAAAUCAAGGGAUAGCUCAUCGGCUUGGCACCCACUCAAUAGAAUCCCCUCAUCCUCCGUUAAUGACCUUGGCUCCUGAGAGGGUUGGAAUUUUAAACUGACGUUGUCUCGAAAGAUUCCGGUCAAAAGAUGGCCAAUGUUGCUGACAAUAUCUAAUCCAGUGCUGAAGGCAACUGUUGUGCCCAAUACGUCUGAUGCGGCGUUUAUGACGUUGGCUGCUGGGCGUCAACAGAUGGCCUUGGUGUAUUGAUUCAAGUGAAAUUCCCCGCUUCUGGGUGUCAACAGAUUGUGCUAUACUCCUUAGAGUACUAUGGGGUCCAAUUUGUUCUUUCUCUUUGACAAUAAGACCACCGCUGUGGCACGAAUCUGAAACGAUUGUGAAGCUUGUUUCUUUUGGCAGCUGCUGAAUCAAGAGCCUGAUGUCCACAUCUGCACUGCCAUGUUUAAUUAUACUGAUUUAAAUUGCAAGAGCUAAAUAAGUUAGCUUAAUAAAUAUAUUUUAUAUUUAUAAAAAAAUGAUAUGAUUAAUAAAGGAAAAUAUGUAGUUGACGAGUUGUGAUCCCAUUUUGGAAUCAUGGAUUCAUGAUCAACAUUAAUAUAUUUUUUAAAAAUUUAAUUAUUAUUUUUUAAGAUUUAAAGUUGUAUUUAUAUUUUGACAUUUAAGGUUGAAUUUUCGAUUUGUUGAAUUUGGGUUUCGAAAACUAUGAAAUUGUGGGUUCAAACCCUACUAUGUGUACUAUAUUUCUAUUUUUUAUUCAUAAAAAGAAUAAAAAUGACAAAAAAAAUUUCUUUAAAUUAAUAUAAUUUACUUUAUAAAAUAAAAUUAUUGUGCAAAUUCCACUAUAAGACACCACUAAUUAGGAAGAAUAAAAAACCUACCAUAAAUGAGAUUGAGAUCACAAGGCACGAUCGCAUCAUCCUUCUGGCCUGGUUUCAUGUCUGCCUCAACUCCAUGUCCACUCAAGAGGAAUAAUAGGACAUCUCCUUCUUUAGCCUCUUUCACCAUUUUUGCAAGUCCAGCCAUAAUUUUAGGCACAUUUGAUAAGUUCGGUCUUGACCCGGCCCCAAAAAUUGGUCUAAAAUUUAACCUAAGCUCGACCUGAAUAAAAAUGCUAACACCUGAACCUAGCCCGACCUGCCCGUAUUAAAAAUUUUUACAUUAUUUUUUAAAAUAUAUAUAAAACACUCAAAACAUUCAAAUAAAUGUUUCCCAACAACUUGAAAAUAAAAUUUAAAAAGUAUUUAUACUUAAAUAACACUAGCAUAGGUGCAACUUAACUAAUAAAUAUUACUAAAAUAAUAACAAAAUUAACAAUAAAAUAAGAGUUAUAUAAUAUCCAAACAAUAAUAGCAAAAAUGUAGUAACAUAAUAGUGAAAUGACAGGAAAACAGUGAGAAAACAACAUAUUUUUUUUUCUUUUUGUAAAUUCGGGUUGGGCUGGGAAAAAAAACCUUACUUGAGGCCCUUAUCUAAGCCCAUUUUCGGGUCUAUAUUUUUGUUCAAUCCCUCCCACUUUUUGAGAGUCCAGCUUGAUCCAUGGACAUGUCUAUUUUUACAAGGUUACACCAAAACAGACUUUUAGCGGUGCUUGGACAAAAAAUGCCGAUAAAAAUCAAGCAUUAGCGGCACUUUAUGGAAAUCGGCACUAAAGAUCUAGCAUUGGCGGUGUUUUUCAGAAAAAUGUCACAAAAAACCGAAGCCCAACGACGUUGUUUUCUUACCUUUUUGGGCUUUAGCGGCGUUUUUGAAAAAGCGCUGCUAAUGCUCGGGAUUUAGUGGCGUUUUUGAAAUGCGCCGCUAAUGCUCGAGGUUUUAGCGACGUUUUUGAAAAAGCGCAGCUAAAAAUAUUUUAUCUUAAUUGGUUUAUUUAUAUUAAUUAAAUAAAAUUCAAUUUAUUUCUAAUUGAAUAUUUAAAAUCUUCAGAAAAAAUAAUGACAAGUAGAAAUAAUUUGAAAUAAAACACAUGGAAAAAAAUUUUAAAGUUUUUUUGGGUACAUGAUUACUGAUUGUUUUUUAAUUUAUAUAUUAAAAAAUUUCUUAUAUAAUCGUAAUCGUAAAAGAGAUAGUAUUAAUUUUAAAAUAUUGAAUUAAUUAUCACUAUAGUUUAGGGUUUUUGGUUUAGGGCAUAUGAUUUAUUUAAGAUUUAAGGCCGGUUUAAGAGUUACUAUUUUAAGGUUUAGGGAGUAUGGAUUUAGGGAUUAUGGAUUAUGGUUUAAGGGUUGAGAUUUAAGAUUUAAGGGUUAGGGGUUAGGGGUUAAGAGUUAGGGAUUUAGGGGUCGGGUUAGGGUUUUGGGUUUAGAUUAAUUAUUUUUUUAAUUUAUAUUUUAAAGAUGUUCUUAUAUAAUUAUAAAAGAGAUAAUAAUAAAUUAAAUAUAUUGAAAUUAUGAGUAUAGUUUAAAUUAUUUAAGAGAUAUAUAAUAGAUAGACUUUAUAUGUAUUGAAUAAUUAAUUUAGGGUUUAAGGUUAAUGUUUACUUGAGAUUUGUUAAAUUAUAAAAUUUUAUACAAUUAAUUAAUGCUUUUAUAUUUAAAAAAGUUUAAUCUAAACCAUUUGAUAUAUUUAAAUAUUAAUUUAAAUAGAAUUAAUAAAUAAGUUAAAAAAAUAAUAGAUUGAUAUGGAUAUUUAGGUAUUAUUAUUUAUUGUAGAGAUGACCAAAUUACAAAAUAUAAAAUUAAAAUACAAAAAUAAAAUGAUUUUUAUUCAAAAUAAAAUAAUUUUUUACAACAUUUUUAUAAAAACGCCGUAAAAGAUAAAUAAUAACGACGUUUUACUCCAAAUUUUACUUUAAAAAAUCGCGCAUUUUACCCAAAUUCCCCCCUUUAAACUUCCUGUGGCGGACAAUAUUUUCUCAGUUGCCACUCUCUAACAAACACUCUGCACUCCCAUGGCUGAUGAGACACCACAGGCCACUCCACAGCCUCUCACUCCCUUCUCCGCUGUGGUGCCCACCCCUUUCAUCGCCGUAAAAAAAAAGUUAAAAACAACAGAAUGAUGGAAUAACUAAAUCCAAAUCCCAACUUUUCUAUGUUCUUAUAGAAAAUAUUUGAUUCUCCCUCCAUCUUACAAACUUUUUAGUUCCCUUCCCAUUACAAAUCAGUUUUCCAUUCCAAACCCUAACAAAUGGCACCUUUGGACCCUCACUCCUUCACUGACUCUCCCCACCCUUUAACCACCGACAUCUCCCUUUCCCCUUUAUUAGACUUCUCUUCUGCCACCAUCUACGGCGUCGCUUUCUUCAUCCUCAAAUCCCCUCAUGUAGGUCAACUUUCUUUUGAUACCCGUUCCCUUUCCAUUCACUAAGUCCUUCCUCCUAUUACCCUUUCCCCUCUCCCUUUCUCUCUUUCCUCUUCACCUGACCCUAUCAAAGGAAACCAGCUUUCCAUCUCGCUACCAGACGAUGACGUUUUGAACUCCUUCUUCAUCGUUUUCUCUACUUCCCCUUCUUCUUCUGCUCUCCAAUGGCUAUCCCCGCUGCAAACGUUUAACAAAAAAACACCCUUUUGUUUAUACCCAAUGCCAGUGUAUCCACGCGCGUUCCAUUUUCCCAUGUCAAGACACUCCCGCGGCGAGAAUUCGUUGCUCUGCUUUGCUCAAUGUAUCUCAGAAGUUAUCCGCCGUUAUGUCCGCCCGCCAUGUCGAUAGGAGGUCACCGGUUUCUGGUGAAGGACAUUCGCAUUUGCUGCCUGACGGGUUUAAUUCGUUGUGGUUCUUCUGCCUUUUUGCGCCUCUCCCUUUUUUUUUGGCUUUCUUGGUUCUCAGUUUCUCAAUUCUAUCCACAGUUGUAUGGGGAAACCAAAGCACUACCGACCGCCGGCAAGUUCUUUCGAACUUUAUUGCUUUCAAAUUGGCGAUUUAAAUUUUAAAAGUUGACUUAUUGUAAGGACUUUUUUCUCAUAAUUUAUGGUGAAAUUUUACAGGGAAAGAAAAAGGAAGGAAAUGCUGCGAGAUAUGUGACGAGGUCACAAGCUAUUAAAAUCCUUCAAGUUAGCCUUUCAGAUUUCAGGUUCAUCUCUUCUUUCUCACUUUUAUUAAUUUUUAUUAUAAUUUAAGCUUCCUUUAUUUGCCUUCUUUUGUCAUUUUUUUUCAUGUUGUUUUUAGCUUCGAAGAUUAAUUAGCUAAGAAUUUGAAACUAUUGAGCUUCGUUAAGCUGAGAUUAGUUCAUCAAGUAGCAGUUAGUUGCUACUUUUGCUCACUGAAGCAAAGAGAAGAAGUGUGUGUGGAAAAUAUUCUUAUUGCUAGCUUUUUACUUCAGCAUGAGUUUAUGACUAUGUUCAUUUUAUGUUAUAUUUUAAAGCUAUUUGUUUUUUUUAUUUGAUAUGAUUUUGCUAUUAUUAUUAUUAUCAUAAAAAAUCGAGGAUUUUAAUAAGAAAACAUAAAAAAAGCCUCAACCAAAUGAAACGCGUAUUGAUGGGGUUUGUUAUUUUUUAUUAAAUAUGGUUGGCUUCCUUUUGCUUUAAUGGAUUUAAUACUGCAGGAAACUAUGCAUCCACAAAGGAGUAUUUCCGAGAGAGCCAAAAAAGAAAGUGAAAGGAAAUCAUCAUACUUACUAUCACUUGAAGGAUGUCAUGUACAUUCUUCAUGAUCCAUUACUUGAGAAGUUUAGAGAAAUAAGGGCAUAUCAAAGGAAGAUAAAGAAAGCUAAGGCUAAAAAGAAUGAUGAGUUAGCAAAGCUUCUUAUAUCUCGUGCACCUUCUUACAGACUUGAUAUGGUCAUCCGUGAUAGGUUUGUGAAACAAUCUUUGUAUGUUUUAUUUCCUCUCGUUGCUAGUUGUAUGAAUUCUGUAAAACUUUUAUAGUAAAACUUUUGUAGUAAGCAGCAACAUAACUAAAUCACCAUAUGCUGAUAAUGAGAAGAUUUAUUGUUCCUAUUCCCUUGGCUCCAAUUUUUUUGGUUCAAAACUUGAUGUCUAAGUGCAUGCUUGAGUAUUUGGCAAUCAAUCCUGUGAAAUAGUUUCUAGUUAAGGUGGCAUAGAAGCAUAUAGUCCAGGCAUAAUCUGUUCUUAAAAUUUAUGAUUGUUUUUUGGUUUCUCCUCUCCACAAACUGUCUAAUGUAUUUGGCAGAAUGAGAUGAUGCUAUUUAUGCCUAUACAUGCAUUUCUCUCUGUGGAUGGGUAACCUAUAUCUUUGAUUUGAGGCAUAGUUUGAUGACAGCAUAACUUAUUGCUGAAGUUAUACAGCCACGUUGUUUGCAUGCUGAUGACCAGUUCUGACAUUUAAGAUUUCAGAAUUGAGAUGGAUUUCCAGCCUGGAGGAUGUAUAGAGCCUGGAGAAGGUUAUGAUAAAUACUGUGCUUAUUAUUGCACUUAUAUUAAAUAUUGUACCCUUCUUUGCGAAAUUGUUGUCUUUUGAAAUAUCUUUAAGAUUAAGGAACUAUACUAAAUGCGGUCACAAAACUUAUGGAGGGCAGUUAUACUUUUUGCUUUCAUUAAUGAAUAGCUUUCUUGUCUUUAUCUGCCCUUAUCAAAUAAGAUUUUAUUAGUUAAGGGAUGUUUUCUGGAUCAGCCUUCAAUUGAUACUGUAAACAAUUUUCUUAUGUAAUUCUAAUAUAGAAUGUAUCUUGUUUUAAUAGCUCUAAUGCAUGGCUAUAAGGAGUCAUUAGCAUUUUUAUUAAGUUGUUUGGAUUUGCAGGGGAAAAAUGAAUUGCAAGUUUAUUUCAGCUUCUCAGUAACUUACCUUGUUUGCCCUAAAAAGUUGUGGUAUUUAAUACAACAAAAGUUAGUAUUAAAUAUCCAUAUACUUUUAGCUACAGUUUUUGAAUAUGCAAAAAAUGCAUCGAUAAUAAUGAAAUAAGAUGGAUGAAUAGAUAAUAUGGAUUAUUGCUUGCAACUUCCUUUCUUUUUUUUCUUUUUUUUGGAAAUAUGCAACUUCCUUUCUUGGUUGUCUUUAGUUGGCAAUAAAGUUUGCUUUAUUUAUAUUGCAAUGUUAAUUACUCUUUUAUCUCAAACCUACUUCAUUGCUCAGAGAAUGCAUAUUCUUCUACAUCUGACAUGAUGGCCUUUUUAUCAUUACAUGUUAAGCCUUUUCUACAUCUGACAUGAUGGCACAUGUAGGGAGAUUGAAAAUGAGUAUUUAGGUCUGAGAAAUGGCAUACUGGAUCAAUCAGCCAUACUGCUUUCAAGCCAUGGUUGUCUAACUUGCAUGAACUGCAAAGUAAGUCAAACUUUUUGUAGUAAUUUCAGGAAUAACAUAUCCUUCUUUGUUUUGAAGUGUUCGAUCUAUUUUUGUUAGCUUGGCACUGCUUAUGCUUAAUUUAGUCUUCAUACAAUUGCUAUAAUUGGUUAUCAGCCAGAUUUAUGAUUGUUUUCCACUGACUCAUUUAUGAUUGUUUUCUAUUUUUAUUGAUUUAUGUAAUCAAUCUCAAUUUUGCUUUUUGCAAAUUAAUACUAUUGUUCCUUGUUAAAAAAUUGAAUAGUUUAGACAAUCAUUAGAAAGAAUGCCUAUUUAUAACACAUGGAAGUGCUAUGAUUGAGAUUGUUUGUUAGUAUGGUUCAACCUGCUACUAAAGUUGUACAUAAUUGUUUGUUAUAUAAUUUUUAUUUUUAACAUCUCUGUUGUUUACCAAGUUUGUUGGUUUAUCUGAUCAUUUGGUUUUGCAUCCUUUAGAUAUUGAAGGUGUUGUAGAGGAUUCAAUCUCUUCAAGCUAGAAAAGCCAAGGCUUAGCACUUCUUCAAGUGGUGGUCGUUUAUCUUAGUCGGAACUUAAAUUUGGUGUUAUUGAAACAGGGUUUUGUAGCUACCUUGUGUACUAGCUUCUUUAACCAUGAUUGUUAAUUAUUACGUGUUUUGUAGCUUCUUUUAUAUUUGGCCGAGUUAAUAUAGAUCAGAUGAGCUGUGAGGUAGAUUGCUCAUUUAUUUAAACAUAAUAUUUUAAUUCUAAAUUUAAAUUCAUUAAUUUUUAUAUUUAGCUUUAAAGUUCAAAUUUUAAUAGUAAUUUUAAUUUAAUAAAAUUUUUUAUCCUAUAUAGUUUAAAGUUUAAAUUUCAAAAAUAAAAUAAAAUAAAAUAUUUAUCAUAGAAAUAAAUAUUAUUUAAUUAAAAUAUAUUUUUAAAAGUCAUGUUUUUAGUGGCGUUUGUGAAAAAACGUCGUUAAAAGUUAUUCUUUAUAGUGGUAGAAGUGUCAUUAAAUGUCAUGAUUUUUAGCGGUGUUUGUGGUAGAAGUGUCACUAAAGGUCAUGAUCUUUAGCGACGUUUGUGAUAAAAGCGUCGCUAAAGAUCAUGAUCUUUAGCGGUGUCUAUGGUAGAAGAGUCACUAAAGGUCAUGAUCUUUAGCGGCAUUUUUUCACAUAAAUGCCGCUAAAAUUAGCGACGUUGUCUAUAGAGGAACUUUUUGCGGCCUUUGUUAAAGCGCCGCUAAUACUUUUAGCGGCGUUCUAAAAGCCUAAAAAAGUGCCGCUAAAGUCUAUUUUGCUGUAGUGAUUGAUAGUUAAAUUUGAUUUUUUUUAAAGAUUAAAAGACGAAAUUUAACUAAAAAGGACCAAAUUAAUAAAUGAUAUAAUGAUUGCCUAUUUUUAUUUGCUUCUUUUGGUGUUCAAGAAUAAUACAUAUUAUACAUAUACAUGGAUAGAGCAAAUCACGUGCACCAUUCAAAAAAUUGGGUUUACAUGUACUAUUAGUUAAUUAGAUGACUCACUUCAAUAAAAAAUAAAAUUAUUUGGUUCAUAAAAAAAUGUAUUUUUUUAAAACUAGAAGUUACAAUAUUAACGAAACAUUACAUUCAUUCUUUACUCAAUAAUUAAUUAAAAUAUUAAAUUAAUAAUCAAAAUAUAUCUAAAUUCGUAAUAGAAUGUUUCAUACAUAAGUUACUCAAUCACUAUAUUGCAUUGUUUAAUCGUCCAAACAAGUUUUAACUUUCGUUGUAACAACUCAAAAGAAUAAUUACAAACGAAUGUAUUUUUAGACUAAAAUGUAGAACUAAGGCUUAGUUUAGAUGAGCAGUGCAUUUACCUAUAGUUAGUGUAAAAACAACGGUGAUGGUGAGAUUAGAUACUGUAACGAUAUUGUAAUGUGAGACAAAAAUAAACUAAACGCAUCGUGUACAAGCCCAAUUUAUGCCCGAGGCCCCAAAACCAAACCUAAACCCAAAACCCUUACCCAUUAACUCGAACCAAGCCUAAUACCCCAAAUUAGGCCCAAACCCGAAACCCAACUAGUCAGACUAGGGUUUCAGAUACUGAAACCCUAGCACCACUUUUCUCACCUCAGCUCUCUGCCCUCCUGGCCGUAACCUACUUCUUUUGCUCUUCUGCCGUCGCCGCACCCUAGCCUCCAGACCUGGCGCCGUCCAUCAAUCUCCUGCAAAGAAGAAAAUCACGCAAAGAACUGUGGCAAACAGAGAAAAAGAAAAAGAAAACUAAAAUUGUAACAACCCGGUUUGACUCUAAUCGGAAUAGUGGUUUCGGGACCACACAUCCGAGUCUGAAAAAUAUUUUAGUAUUUUAUUUGGUGUUUAUUAUGUGUGAAUUUGCAUGUGUGAAAGUUUCAUGAAUUAAUAUUAUGGUUUGAGUGCUUAAUUAAAGAAAAAUGACUUAAUCGUGUAAAAAAAAUAAAAAGGCUAGUUAAUGUGUAAAGUUUUAAAUUGCUAAUGUCUUUUUAAUAUGGAGUCCUUAAUAGGUUAUUAGCCCACUAUUAAGUAAGUGGGUGGUAUUGGUCAAGAAUGACCCUGUUUUAUAAGGUAUAUAAAUUUAUAAACAAAGGUUAAAUAAGUAAACUAGUAAUAUGUUAAUAUAUGUUAAAUUAUAUCAAAAUAUAAUUCAUUAUUCUUCAUCUCCUUAUGACCGAAACUAAAGAAAACAAAAAGAGAAAAACAUAAGCUAGGUUCGGCCAAUUUACAAGCUUAAUUCAAGGUUAGUUUUGUUUUGAUUUUUAAUAAUUUUUACGUUUUUGAGAUCGUUGCUUUGUGUUCUUCAAAACCCAUGUUUUAAUUUUGUGAAUUGUUGAUGAUUUUGAAAUGUGCCAUUGAUGAAUGCUUGGACUUUUUGAUAGUUGAUGAUGAAAAAUGAAAGAUAUGUGAUAGAUUGAUAUGUUUUGUAUUGGAAUUUUUAGUGAAAUUGGGUAAAUAGGGCUAAAUUGUGAAAUUAAAUUUUUGGGGGACUAAAAUGUGAAAUAAAUGCAAUGUGUGGACUUGUAUGAGAACCAUGAAUAUUCGGCCCUUGUGUGGUAUGGGAAAAUUUUGUGUAAAUUGUGUUUUAUGCAAUAGGGAGUAAAUUGCAAAAAAGUAUAAAUAUUAGGGGCAAAAUAGUAAUUUUCCAAAUUAUGUGUUUUUGGACUAAAUUGAAUGUGUUAAUAAAUAAAUUAUCUUAUUUUUAAUAUAUUUAGAUCGAGAACCAAAGAAAUCGGAGUUAGAUCGGGGAAAAGCCAAAUUAGUCGAAUAAUCGUCCGACUUCGAUUUUCCAUCGUCCGAGGUAAGUCUAUUAGCAAUUAAAAGUUAUUAAGUUAACAUUUAUACAUGUAUACUAAUUGUAUUUUAUGUUGAGCUAUAAUUAAAAGUAUAUUGAUUGAAUAAAUUUUGAAGUAUGGAUGAUAUUUACAUAUAUAGCAUGUUCGAAUAUACAAGUAUAAUCUUGUAUAGAUUUAUGGUUUGAAAUAAAGGUAAGAAAUGUAUAAGAGUAUAGUUGAUAUUCGAAUAAGCAUGUAUAUAUAUAUAUGUAUAUAUAUAAUGCUAGAAUAUAUAUAUAUAAGUUAUUGAAAUUAGUUAAAGUAUGAAUGUUGCAUAGGUAUAAAUUCUUGAUUUUAAUUAAAGGAAUGUAUAAUAUAUAUAUAUAUGGUGCGAAUAUAUAUAUGUAGGUAUAUAUAUGUAUAAACACUUGGAUUUAUUUAAAGUUAUGUAACCCAUGAUUGUAUGAGAAGUUUUGAAUAGAUAUGUAUAUGUGAAUUGUAAUUUAUAUGUAUAUGCUAUAUUUGAAUAAGCAUGCUUACAUAUAUGUAUAUGUUCUUGUAAUGGAUUUUAAGUAUGAGUGUUAUAUAUAUAUGCAUAAAUGAAGUUCGAAUAUGUACAUAUAUAUAUAUAUAUAUAUAUAUAUAUAAAUGUACAUCUAUUGUAUAUUUGACGAGCUAAAAUUAAAAGUAUAUGUAUUGAAAAUUAGUUGAGUAUGAAUGUUAUAUAUAUGCAUAUGUGUGAGGUUCGAAUAUAUAGUUAAGUAUAUAUAUAUGUACAGGUAUAAUUUCUUGUAUUGAAAUUAGGUAUGGAAUUAUAUAUUGAUAUACAUGGUUGAAUGUAUAUGUAUAUAUAUGUUUAAGAUUUGCAUUGAAAUUAAAGUAUAAAUUUUAAAUGCUUGUAUGAUUCGAACAUGGACUACAAAUUUUCUUGGGAUAGAGUUGAGAUUGUGAAUUUUUUUUCAGACUUUAAGUCUAGCAGGCUAAUUGCCGGUGAUCUGAAUCAGGUUAUAAACCUAGCAGGCUACGUGCCGGUGAUCUGAAUCAGGUUAUAAACCUAGCAGGCUACGUGCCGGUGAUCUGAAUCAGGUUAUAAACCUAGCAGGCUACGUGCCGGUGAUCUGAAUCAGGCUAUAAGCCUAGCAGGCUAUGUGCCGUUGAAUCGGUUUAAUUAAGUGAUUGUAUACAUUGAAUAUAUAUGUAUAUGAUUUGGUUAUUUGUAUUGGAUUAAUAUAUGAACAUCUGUUGCUAUGUUUUUGAUGAGCAUAUAAAAGCUCGAAUCUUUGUGUCUGGUGAGUAUUAGAGGUGUUCAUGGGCCGGGCCCAUAGAAAAUUUUCACCCGCAUACUAGGCCCGGGCCUGACCCGGCCCGAAAUAUGAGCCUGAAAUUUUGUCUAGGCUCGGCCCGGGAAAAAAUUCUUAGGCCCAAGCCCGGCCCGACCCGUUUUUUUAAAAAUAAACACCAUUUUUAAAAAAAAAUUAAAAAAAGUAUUUUAAAAAUAUAAAAAAUAUUUUUUAUUAUAUAUUCGGGCCGGGCCCGGGCCAAAAAAGUCUUGCCGGAGGCCCGGCCCGUUUUUUAAAUGAGCCUCGUUUUUUUGCCCAAACCCAUAUUUCGGGCCUAUAUUUUUACCUGAACCCUCCCAUAUUUCGGGCGGGCCGUCGGGCCAGGCCGGGCCGCCCGGCCCAUGAACACCUCUAGUGAGUAUAUAUAUAUCUAUGCGUUUGGCAUAUGUGAACUAAAGUAUAUAUAUAUGUGCAUUCGGCACAUGUGGUUGAUAAGUAUAUUUGGAAUUUAUAUAUAUGAUUAAUGAUUAUGUAUAUAACUUGAUUUUUAAGUAUAUAAUGAUAAUACAUAUGAUCGUUUAUAUAUAUUUUGGAUAUGCUAUAAACUUACUGAGCUAUAGAAGCUUACUUUGAUUGUUUUUGUUUAUUUGUUUAUAGAUUUUGGAGACGCGUUACGAGCUCGGGGAUCAUCAGCAUAGUCCAUCACACUAUCGACUUCUUUUGGUAUUUUGUUAACAGUUUGAACUUGAUCUUAUGGCAUGUAUAGGUUUGAGUAUGAUUUUGGUUAGAUUUGGAUUGAAUAAUAUAAUUAGCCAUGUGAAUAUGGUUUAAUUUCUACUUUUGUGAUCAAUUUGGUUUUUUUUUUAAAAAUGGUUGUGUUUGUUCUGUAAUGCCUCGUAACCCUAAUUCGACGACGGAUAUGGGUUAGGGGUGUUACAAAAAUAGCAUGUAAAAUUGGCUAUAAAGCCAAGUAUCAUCUCUGUAAUAGGGGUUCCCCACCCUUUUCUUCACGAUUUCAAGAAAUAAAAAGAAAAAAAAAAGGGAUUCAAGGAUUCUUUUCUUCUUUUCGGCAUAAGAUCUAUUUUUCUUUUUUUAUUUAUUUUUAUUUUUCUCUUUAUUUUCCUUCCUUUUGAAAUUGUUUAUAUACAUACAUAUAUUUCUUUAGUUUUCUUUUUUAACUAUUUAUACACAUAUAUAUUGAAAAAAAGUUUAAAAAAGAGAGAGAAACUUACCUUCCUUUGGAUCGCCUGAAAGAGAGGGAUUUUCGACCUUCCGGCCGCCGCAUACGGCAGCGCCGGUGCCGGCACAGAUGGCCGUCGCGACGGUGAUUGGCCGAAUUUUGGCCGGACCCUGGCCGGAAAGGGAGAGAGGGGAGAGAGCUGUUGAAAGGUUUUUGGAGUUUUUUUUUUAAAAAGAAGGUUAAAAAUGAAUUUUUUGUCUGAUUUUUAGCUUAUAUAGGCCCAUUAAACGGCGUCGUUUUGGGCUUAAACAUCAAUGGCCAAAACGGCGCUGUUUUGCCUUAGACCAGCGCGCGACCCGACCCUCUCCAGGGAGGAUCAACGCGUUUUCGCAGAAUGGGUUAUUUGCAACCCUGGUCCUUUUGCGUUUAUGCUUCUUUUAAUUUACUCCCUUUUUGUUCAUUUUUGUUUUUUUUAAAUUUGGCCCCAGAAUUUUGUUUGGUUCUCGAUUAGGUCCCUGACCCACCAACGCGCUGAAAAUGGACAUGUGGCCUGGAAUUUGGGUUUAUUACCCAUUCGGCACUCCUCCCUUUCACGCUUUUCAGUUUGGUCCUUCUGUAUUUAUUUUUAUUUCUGUUUUGACCUUUAAAUUUUAUUUUUAUCCCUAAUUAGUCCAUCUUUGUUUAUUUUGUUAUAUUAUUAAUUAAUCUACUUAUUAUCUUAUUUAUAUUUUCUUUUUAUAUUUAUCUAUUCAUUAUUAUAUUAUAUUAUUAGUUUUGUAUUAUUAUUAUAAUCAUUAUCAUUAUCAUUAUUAUUAUUAUUUACUCAUUUAUACCUUUAGUUCAAAAUUAUACAUUUUUCUAAUAUAUAUGUAUAUACAUAUUUAUACAUAUUCUUUAUAUUUUAAAAUCUAUUUCUUCUUAUGUACUUUCUAUAUUUUAUAAUACAUAUAUAAAUAUAUUUUUAAUAUAUAUAUAUAUAUCAAUAUACAUUUUUAAUUUUUAUAAAUACACAUAUAUAUGCCUACAAUUACGCUUUUAUAUAUAUUACAAUUUAUAUACGUAUAUAUAUAUAUUUAUAUAUAUAUCCACAUACAUAUUUUAUACUUCAUAAUUUUAAUACACAUAUAUAACUUUAUAUUUUUAUAAAUUUUAUUCAUCUCUUUUAUUUAUUUAUUUAUUUAUUUUUCAUUAUUUUAAAAGAACAUUUUAACUUUACUUGCUUAUUAUAUUUGUUUUCGCAUGUUAUUAAUUUGUCCUUUUUUAUAUUCAUUCAUUUUUAUUGCUCCUAUUUUUAUACUAUUAUAUUCAAUAUCGCUUUGUAUGUGUAAUUAACCUCGUGUUUCAUUUCUACUAUUUCAAGUUAGAUUAAUUUAUCUCGACGCACAAGUUUCAACUUUCAAAUAAGCAAAAUUUCAUAUUUAGAUUUGAGAGGAUUGAGUCCUACCAUUAGGUUCCAAUUUUCUUCAUUGAAUCUAAAUAAUGGAGAAUGCUCUUUGAUAAAAAAAAACAUAAAUAGAAAGCUCAUUAUCGGGAAUUUAAUAUGUUGUAUCCUAAUACAUUGGAUAUGACACGUUUUCUCGAGACGAGGAUUUUUCUAAAAAAUAAUAAAGGCAAUAUUCAAUGUUUAGAAUUUUGAGAAAUUGUACCCUAACGUAUUGGGUUGCGAUUUUUUCAUCUAACUUAAACAAUUAGAUAUCCUUUUAAAUUUCAUUGCACAAGUUUUUUUGGACAAGCUCAUUUUUGAGGAAGUAAAAUAUCAUGCCCUAACUCAUUAGGUGUGACAUUUUCUCUCUUCGAAAUGAGAGGCUCUUAAUGGGUAAUUUGAUUUAUACAUUUCAAUAAAGGAUCGUACUUUAAAUCUCCGUAAAGUUUCUAAUUCUCGACACUAAGACACUAAAUAAUCAACUAGGUACCAAUUUUGGGCGUUACGAGGGUGCUAAUCCUUCCUUAUACGUAACCGACUCUUGAACCUAUUUUUUCUGAAUUUCGUGGACCAAAAUCGCUGUUUUAAUAAAAUCAAAUCGUUUAUUAAAAACAACCACUUCUCGAGGUGAUCCGAUCACACCUCAUCAAAAAGGAUUGGUGGGGACUCCCACUUUCGUUUUCAUUUUUUAAAUCCAAGUUGACCCCGUUUUAUCAAAAAAAUAGUGUUAACACACCGUACCACACUCAACCACCCAUCCAAACCUCACCUAAAAGUUGCUAGAGUUUCCUUCCUACCAUUAAACCAAUGUAUCAUCAACUAUUUGUACUUAUGUUUAAACACUUUAAUGGAGUUGCAUGAAAUGCAUGAUUGACUACGUGUAAAUUUAUACACAAAAAAAAACAAUAAUUUGAAAAGCUUUCCAUAGUACAAUUUUGAUAUAUUUGGCCUCUAAUAAGAAAUCAACAUAUGGAGUGGGUGAUUAAUCCGAAUCGGGGUGAGGACAGGUGUUGUGAUGGACAAAGCGUAAGACAAGGUGGUUCUCGACAGAAGCAAGAAAGCUCUGACAAAAGACAGCUAGGUAUUCCUUUUGCAGACAAAUUAAGAAGACAAAAGAUAGAAAAUAUAGGGUGGUGGUCGAAGAUAAAUGAUUAUAACAGCACUGAUAUGAUCUGCUUCGCCUUCGUCCACCACCUCAUCUUUAUGUUUAUAUCUUGGUCGUGACUCACGUUGGCCUUCGUCUGCAAGUGCUGUCGGUCCUACUAUUGUGCUUGUGUUUCCUAGCUUUGAUUUCUAUGUAUUAGGGUCUGGGGUGAAGUUAGAAAAAUAUUUUUAAGAAUUGAAGUUAAAUUAUAUAUUUUUAUAAGAGUUAAAAUGUAAUUUCAUAAUUAUAUUAGUUUAUGUUUUUAUAGUUUUUAGAGGUCUUAAAUUAAAAUCUUAUCAUUUUUUUUUGGAUAAAUUGUGAUUUUACAAUGUUUAACUUAUAAUUUUAUAGAUUUUAGAAAGGCCCAAAUAACAAUUUUUCAUUUUAGUGGUCUAAAAAGUAAUUUUCAUUUUAAGGAGGCCACUCCCCUUGCUCCAGUCACCGCCUUUACGACGAGAUUAAUUAUAGUGAGAUUGAAAAUAGAUGUGAUAGUGAGAUUAACUAUUAUGGUGAUGAGAAUAAAAUCACUGGUGAGACGUGUCUUAGGAUUUAAACAUAUAGAUUGUAGAUUUAUAGUAAGAGAGCAAAAUGACCAUUAUGAACAUUAAACUAAAAUUAAACUAAAUUAGUUUGCACCCUUCCGUAUCUUUUUUAUAAUUAAUAUUUUAACGAUAAAAACAUUAUAUUUCAUAUUUCAUUUAUAUAAAUUAUGCAUGUCAAAUUUGACGUAAAUUAAAAAUUUCUAACUAUUUGUUUUAUGUAAAAAUACUUUUAACUGUUUAAUAAAUGUUAAUAUAUACAAUAUUUUAGAUCGAUAAGAUAGAAAUAUCAAAUCAAUUUGAAAAUUUGCAUGCAUGAAUCAUACAAUAAUUUUGAUAAAUUCAAUGGUUGGAUUGUUAAAUUAAUAAUCAUAUAAAAAUAUAUGGAAGGAUGUAAAAUUACUUUAGUUUCACACUAGUGUAAGCGGAUCUCUCCCAUUUUAAUAUAUAAAGUUAAUUAUAUAAUUUAAAAUUAUGUAAUUAAUAUUAUUUAUAAAUAUAAGUAUAAAUAUAUUUCUUUAUAUGCCUAACUAAUGUAAAGAAAAUCCACAAAGAAGCUAUUUGUUGAGGGGAGGUCGGACUCUCUUUUGGGAGAAGUCUUCUAAGUGUCAUCUAUUUGGGAGUUGAUGGACCCCUCAAUAAGAGGUAUUUUUCUCGUGUUGGGGUUUCUUCCCUGGCCUUCACAAAGAGCAGCUAUACGAUUCUCAAAAGGGGGCUCGAUUGGUGGAGAUAGGUACAAUGGCUCUUUGCGAAGGUUGAGGGAAAAACCUUGACACGAUGACAAUACAUUUUGUUGAGGAUUCUGUUGACUCUCAAGCGGGCAAUACUUCGAAGACUUCUCCUAAGAGAAAAUCUAACCUCCCCUCAACACUAUUCACAUACACUUAUCCCAAACCAACAACCAAAUAUCACUACAACCACAAUCAAUCAUACAAAAAUGCCAAAUAAUCCCAAAUAAAAGAAGGAAGAAAGUCUCCUAUGUUAGCAUCCUCAAAUAGGACUUAUAGAAUUAAAAAAAAAAGAAUGAAAAUAUAUAAUAAAAAAAAUGAGACAUAAACGUACUGGAUUCAGUUAGGAGUUAGUCGGAGAGUUUUGGGCGUGGAGGCUCAAACAAAAGGUCGAGGAGAAAGUCUUAUUAAGAAGAUGAACAUAUUGGACUCAAGUGACCAUCCGAUGAUGGCAAACAAAGAUCAAAUAGCUUCCUUGUUAGAUUUUUAAGUUUGAAUCAACGAAGUUUCAGGCCAUUUUAAGGAAAAUUAAAUCAUAAAGUUGAAAGAGGAAGGAUAGAGCUAUACUUUUAUGUGUUUCUUUGGUAAAGGAGGAGGUUGGACAAUGGUGAGAUUGCUGGAAUACAAUAGUGAAAGAGGUUCCUAAAACUCUAAAACUUUUGAAUAGUUUAGUGACCAACUUAUAACUCUUCUGAAAUUAAGUGACCAAAGUGUAAACUUAUUAAUAUUUAAGUGACCUUGGGUGUAGUUUACCCCAUGAUGAAUAGUGAGUUAACGAUCAUGUCAGACAAACAUUAGCAACCUAAUGGUUCAAUGACUUAAAUGAUAGAUUUUGAAUAGUUAAAUGACUAAUUUAUAACUUUUUAAAUUACUAAUAGCCGAGUAAACUUGAAUGUAAUUUACCCUCUCUUGUUUGACUUAAAAAAUCAAAUACAAGAUGGACUUUUCCAUAAUAGGCCGACACCAACAAUGUGGAAAUAGCACGGUCCAUACCUAUAAUUGUUGAUAUCGAAGGAAGAAGACUUCAAUGACUAAAUGACAUGAAUAUAAUGUAGAAAAAGUUAUGGAAGAAAGAGUCCACGAACCCCCUUCUUUUUUGCCUCUAGAUUUGUAAGUUUGUGAAGAAAAACUAGUGAUAGUCUUUUUGUCCCUAUAUCUAGUAAACUACCCAUAAAAAUUAUCUCUUGAGUAGAAAGGGAUGACUUGGGAAAAAUUAAACAAAAUUUAUAAUUUUUUGGGAUAAAUUUUAAAAUUAUAUAAACAUUUAUUUAACGUGUAAUUUAAUACGUAAAUUUUAAUUUUAUGUAAUUAUAUAUACGAUCCCUUGUAAAAUGAGAAUUCAGAUGAAUUUAUGAAUUUACGUAUCAAAUUCAUUUUGGGGCUGGAAGCGCCCUUGUAAAUUUUACUUUUGCUCUUAAAAAAUGAUAAAAUUUUAAUUAAUCUUUUAAAAAUUAAAAAAAAGAUAUAAUUUAUUAAAAUGAUAAGAUUUCAUUUUAACUCUCCUAAAGAAUAUGUAAUUCAAUUAUGACUUUUUUAAACAAUAAAUUUUUGACUUCAUCCUUAUUCGAACUUCAAAAAUUACUCGAGAAAAAAAGUUUUGCUGAAUAAGGCAACAAACCAAAGGGAAACGAGAUUCACGAGGGGAUGAAGACGAAAUACAAAACCAAAGGGAUAACCAAAGGAGAAAAGUUGUAUAAAAUAUAUGUGGUAGCGGGGAAGAGAUGCCAAGGGGUUAAUUUAUAUUUUGUUAUUCAAUAUAUAUAUUUAAUUCUUUCACUAUUUAUUGCUAUACAAAUAUUAGAUUUAUUUAAAAAUUAUGCUAUUUAUUUGUCGGAUUAAUCGUAUUUCUGGCCAGAGCAUUGAACCUAUUUGAAGUGGUUUAUAUUGUCCUAAAAAAUUCCAUGUACAAACAAUAAUUAAUUUUACUUCCCCACCUAACUACUCUUGGCUGGGGUAGGUUCUGGCAGAGAAGUUAUAGACACAUUUUCAUACUUUGGGUUUGGAAUACUUUACUUAAUUUCCUUUGCUGUAUUGAGUUUUGGCAAUAUUUAUCAUGCACUUUGAGACCUAAAACUCUUGAAUAAUCUUUUUCAUUUUUCGGUUAUGUAUAGAAAGAUAGAAAUAAAAUGACCAUAAUUUUGGAUAUUCACUUCAUUUUGCUUGAUACAGGUUCUGUUUUUCUAGUAUACAAUAUCUGAGCUUAGUUCAAAUUUAAAUAAAAUAAUUUAAUAUUUUGAAUUAAACCAAACUUAAACAAACCUAUUGAUACUAAAUAUAAAUCUAACAUAAACCUAGCGGCCCAUGAGUGCUUUACAUACUAAUAAAAUCAACUAAUAUUUUAUAAAUACUAUUAAAUAUAUAUUAUCAGGUAAUAUAAAUGUUGAUCAAAUAACAAAAAAAUUCAUGUAUAUUCUUUACAUAAAGUUAGAAUCUUUUGCGCACUGUCUUAAAUCUAUUGACAUCGGUAUUAUUGUUAGUGCAGGAGAAUAUGUGUUCGAGUACACUGAGACAUAUUAUCCUCUUAUUUAAAGGUUGAGAAGAAAUUAUAAAUAAUUCUAAUUACUAUUUCAAAUUUUAUUAUAAUGGAUGAAUGGUUGUCUUAGAUCACAAGCUAAAUUUUGGGUUUUAUUUAAUAUUGGGCUAUUUGGUUUAUAAGACUCUUCGACCUCUUUUUUUUUUUUUUUUAAGAAUACAAACAAAUUGAGCUUAUUUUUUUUAUUUAUUUUUAAGUAUAUUUAUAUAAUAUUAAAUAUAUAAAUAUGUUUUAUUAUUUUGUUAUUAAAUAUUACAAAAAUUUACAAAUAAAUCAACAAAUUACAAAAAAACCCUAAGUUUUACAGAUUUUACGGUUUGAUCCUUAUGUUCUGAAAUAUUAACUGUUUAAGUGAUGAAUGAAUAUUUGUUACACGUUUUAAGCUUUUAUUUAUUAAAAUUUGCUUUAUUUCUAUGGAUUUUUAAUUAAAUUUGAGGACAAUGCAUAAUAUUAAAUUUAGCUCUUAACAUUUACAUAUUUUAUCAAUUUGGCUUUUGUUAUUUUUUUAGACAAAUUUUGGCCUUCAACCUUUUAGAAAAGAGUUAAAAUGAUGUUUUUGUUAUUAAAUGAUGUUUUUUUAGAAAAAUCCUCAAUAAUCUCUAAUUUCUAGGGAUUAUUUACCAAAAAAACUCAACAAUCCCUCCCUUAAACUGAAAGUACAAUGAACUUUCAGUUUAAUAAAUACUUACUACUCAAUGUCAAAGACCAAGUAUUUUCCUGAACUUGACAAAUGAUGCCAACUUGAGAGGCUUAGUAAAUACAUCAACAACUUAAUUUUCACUUCUGUAAUACUUUAGCUUAAUUGCUCUUUCAUUGCUGAAAUAUGACAGAAAGUAAUAUUUUACAUCAAUAUUCUUGCUUCUUCCAUGCAACACAAGAUUUUUUGACAACUUGAUGGCUGAGUUGUUAUCACAAAAAAAUAUAGCGGCUCUUUUUGGCUUGAAUUGUAGUUGUUCAAGGAUUCUCCUAAGCCAAAUAGCUUGACAAGCACAAGCUGUAGUGUCAAAAAAUAUGACAAUGGAUUGUUUCUUAGAUGAUCACGAAAUAGCUCCUGUUUUAAGCAUAAAAACAUAACCUAAAAUGCUCAUUCUAUCAUCUUGAUCUCUUGCAUAAUCACUACCAGUGAAGCCAAUCAUGUUUGUCACCCUUUUUGUAGAAAAUCCAAAAUCUUUGGUUCUUUAUAAGUAACGAAGGAUUCUCUUAGCAGCUAAUAAAUGUUUUUCAAUCGGGCUCUUCAUGUACCUGCUAAUAAGACUCAUAGAAUACUAAUAGAGUUAGAUACAUCAAACUACCUACAAUUUUCUUGUAAACUAUGCUAUCCACAUUCUUUAAUAAGUUUUAAACCAAACUCAGUUGGAGUGUUGGAAGAGUUACAAUUCUUCAUCUUGAAUUUGUCCAAAAUCUCUCUCACAUAAUUUUUCUCUUCCUUCAAGUAUUCAUGUAAGAAUGUCGACUUGAUAUCUAACUGGAAGAUUGACCAAGAGUUCUGCGCUACUAAAGCAAUCACCAAUCUGAUAGUGUUAUGUCUUGCAACUAGGGUAAAAAAUUUUGUGUAGUCUACACCAUACUCUUGUUUGUACCCCUUAGCCGCUAAUUGCGUAUUGCACUUCUCAACCUCUUUGUUUUCCUUCAACUUCGUCUUGUAGAUCCACUUGACACCAAUGGUUUUGUGCCCCUCAAGAAGAUCAGUCAUCUCCUAAGUAUCAUUCCUUUUAAUGGCUUUGAUUUUAGCAUCCAUUGCCUCUUUCCAUUUUGCCUCAUUGGCAACAUUUUCAAAACUUGUUGGGCCACAAUCUGUAAAUAAUGCAAAUUGAGCAAUUGCAUCAUCAUUUUCUCUAAUUUUGGUUACGUCAUAAUCUUACAUCCAUGCUGGCCUUCUUCGAACAUGACGAAGUGCUUCAGCUAUUGUACUAGUUUCUUCUUUAUGUGUAAACAAUACUUUAGUGGCUAAUAGAGAAGUAUUCUUGAGCAUUUCUUCAGCUUUAUUAUCAUAAAGAACUGUAUAGGUUGUGCUUCAUCCCAAUCCCAAGUUUUCUCUUCAUGAAACAUAACUCUCGGCUAAUCAUGACCUUCUUUCUCACAGGAUUAAACAAUUUGUAUGCCUUCAAUUUGAUGUUUCACUAAUACCAAAAAAGACACAUCAACAAGCUUCUUCCAUUUCUCCUUUGAGACAUGUGCUUAGGUAAUGCGCCUAAAAAUUCUGAAGUGAUCUAUCACCGGUCUCCUUCCACUUUAAGCCUUCUCCGGAGUCACAUCUUGAAGAGAAUUAGUAGGGCUCCUAUUCAAGAUGUGGAUGUUCCAAUUUAUAGCUUUUGACCAAAACACCUUUGGAAUUCUCCCUCUUACUAGUAGGCUUCGAACCAUGUUGAGAAUGGUUUAAUUUUUCCUCUCUGAUACAUUAUUUUUUUGUUGUGUAUAAGUAGUUGUGAGCUCUCUUUGGAUGCUGUGAACAUCACAAGUCUUCAAACGCCUUAGAGGAAUAUUCACCACCAGGACUAGUUCGAAGAGGUUGAAUGGUUCUUCCUUUCUCAUUUCCUACACUAGCUUUAAAGCUUUUAAAUUUGAUUUUUCUUGUAAAGGUAAACCCAUGUCUUACAAGUAUAAUAAUCAAUAAAGGUAAUAAAUUUCCAUUAUAAAUUGGAUUUAUUGGCCCACAAAUGUCUGAAUGCACCAACUCCAAUACCUCUUUUACUUUCCAUAACUUACUUUUAGGAAAUUGAGAUCGAUGUGGUUUGCUAGCAACAAAUUCUUCACAAACUAGCAAAGGAAAGAUAAUUGGAGGAAGACCAGUCACCAUAUUUUUAUUUUUAAGUAUCUUCAAACCACCAAAGUUUAAAUGACCAUAGCAAAAAUACCACAACCAAGAAGGAUAUUUAACUUCUACUAUUGUUGACACCAAUUUUUUAGAUGAAAACGGGGUCAACUUGGGUUUUGACGAAAACGAAAAAAACGGGAGUCACCACCAAUCCUUUUUGAUAAGGUGUGAUUGGAUCACCUUGAAAAGUGGUUGUUUUUAAUAAACGAUUUAAUUUUAUGAAAACAACGAGUUUGGUCCGCAAAAUUCAGAAGAAAAAAAUUCGGGUUCGGGAGUCGGUUACGUACGAGGAAGGAUUAGCACCCUCAUAACGCCCAAAAUUGGUACCUAGUUGAUUAGCUAAUGUCUUAAUGUCGAAAAUUGAAAACUUUGAAGAAUUUUAAAAAACGAUCCUUGUAUGUUGAGAUUUUUUGGGAAAAAAGGGCAUAUUUCACGUUGAUCGAGAAAAAGAAUCAUAUCUAGUGAGUUAGGACACAAUGUCUCGAAUUCCCGAUACGCGAAUAAAAAUGCUUAUUUAAAAGACAUUUUAGCUAUCUCGAAUUUAAAAGGGAGAUCACGACCAGUAAGUUAGGACGUGAUUUUUAAAACUUGAGUUUGAAAAGAUUCAUGUAAUAAAGUUUAAAAGGAUAUUCAAACGUUUAAAUCAAAAGAAGAAAUCACGACCCAAUACGUUAGGGCACAAUUUCUCAAAAUAUUAAACAUUAAAUAUUGCGUUUAUUGCGAAAAAUCCUCGUCUCGAGAAAAUAACGUGUCACGUCCAAUGCGUUAAGACACAAUGUAUUGAAUUCUCGAUAAUGAGCUUUUUAGUUAUAUUUUUUUUAUAAAAAGAGUAAUCUCGAUUAUUUAGAUUCAACAAAUAAAAUCGGAACCCAAUACGUUAGGGCUUGAUUCUCUCGAAGAUUCCAAAUACCGAGUGGUACUUAUAUUUUUAAAAUUUUCGCUUUUUACGUAUUCGAGUAAAAAUUAUAUAUGAUAGAAUAACUAUUAUGAUAUGCAAGUAAAAAUAAUACGAGCAGUAGCAAAUAAAAGAUAAAUAAAAGACAAACUAAUUAUACAAGGUAAUAAGCAGAUAAGCUUUUCAAAUAAAAUGAGCAUAAGAUAGAAAGCAAAUGUCGCACGAAACAAUGAAAUUAUAGAAGAAAUAAAAAGGAAUGUAUAUAAAAAAUGUAUAUGUAUGUAUUUGAAAUUAUACAAAAUGUGUAAGUGUAUAUACAUAUGUGUAUAAAAUUACGGAAAUAUGAAAAGUAUAUACAUGUAUACAUAUUUUAAAAUUAUUAUACAUGAAAAUAUAUGUAAGUAUGUAUUAAAAUAUGUAUAUAUGUAGGUAUAUAAAAAUUAUGAAGUAUAUAAAAAGAUAAAAGUAUGUAUAUAUAUACACAUUUAAAAAAAACUUAAAAAUAUGUACAUGUGUGUAUUUUUAAAAAAGAGUAUUGAUGUGUAUAUAUAAAAUAUAUAAAAAAAACAUAUGUAUGAAUAUAUACAUAAUUGUGAAUAUAAAAAGGGUACACGGUUAUAUACAUAUAGAUAUAGACAUGCGUAUGGAUAUUAAAAUAUAUAUAUAUGAGUAUAUGAGUAUAGAUAGAUUAUGAAAAUCUGCCCAUGCAAGUAUAUAUACAUAUAUAUAUAUUAUAAGAGCGCAUGUAUGUAUGUAUAUUUAUAUAUAAAAAAUGUAUGUAUAGACAAAUUAUAAAGUACAUAAAAAAAAAUAUAUAUAACAAAAUCUAAAAAUGGUAUAAAUGGAUAAAUAAAAUGCACUAAUAAUAAUAAUAAUAAUAAUAAUAAUAAUAAUAAUAUGAUGCAAUAAUAUAACAAUGAAUAGAUAAGUAUGUAAAUAAAAUACAAAAAUAACACAAAUAGACUAAUUAGGAAUAAAAAUAAAAUUAAAGGGUCGAAAUUGUAAUAAAAUAAAUACGGAGGGAUGAAAAUGGAAAAUAGCAUGAAAGGGCAGGGGCCAAAUGAGUGAAUAUACCAGACCUUGGACACGUGUCCACUUUUUAGGGCGCUGAGGGGUCAGGGAUCCGAUUGAAAUCCAAACAAAGUUGCAGGGCCGAAUUAAAAAGUGAAAAUAAACAAAGUUGCAGGGCCAGGAUUGCAAAUAACCUAUUCCAUGAAAACGCGCGGGUCAUGGGGCUAAACGGCGCCGCUUUGUGCAGGCUAUAAAAGCCAAAAAUUUGUCAAAACUUCUCAAUUUUCCUUUUUUCCCCAAAAAAACAAAAAAAGGCUCUCAAACCCCCCAUUUUCUGGUCUCGGGUUUGGCCAAGGGCCACCGUAUCGGCCGUCGGAUCGCCGGCGUCGGCGACGCCGUACACAGUGGCCGGCGAGUAUAGAAAGGCUUGCCCCUAUAGAUCCCGACCUUCUAAACUCGGAUCUGGCCUCAAAAUAACCAAAAACGAUGGGGAAAAGGUCGUUAGGCUUCCCUACAGUCGGUUUCGUCACCGGAGGAGUCUCCGACGAGGAGGAAACCAGUGACCCGCGGUGAGUUUCUCCUUUUUAUUUAUUUUUUAUUUUCGUUUUUAGAAAUCAAAAUAGAAAAUAAAAUAACCAAAAAAAAGAUUGUAAUCGAAAAAACUAGGAAAUCACCUUGAAGCUUGAUUUUUUUUAUUAUUCUGUUGAUAUUUGCUUUUUUGUUACAAAAAUCGGGAAAAUAAAAAAGAAAAAGCCCCCUCAAAGUUACAUGUUCUUCGGCUUUUAAAGUCAAUUUUUGUUACUGUUCCUGUCUUGUUUGUUUCUCUUCUUUGCAAGUGACGGUGCAAGUGGCCGAUGGUGGCAAGCGGUGGCAGUGUCAGAGGGCAGGUAGCUACGGCGCUAGGGUUUCAGAAAAGCUGAAACCCUAGUUUGACUUUGGGUUUGCUGGGCUAGGACAUUGGGCCUGUAAUUGGCUGUUGGGGUUUGGGUCAUUAGGUCAGUGAGCUGGUGGGCAAAAUUGGGCUGGUACAACUAUUAAACAAGAUUGAACAACCUCAAUCUUCAAUGGAAACAACCUAUUCUGACUUAUUUCCAUAAUAGCAACAACUGUUCUAGAUGGAUUAGAAAUCUCACAAGCACCAUUCGUGAAAGUGACAACAUACCCUUUUUCCAACAGUGGCAUCAAAGCCAAGUUUAUUCUUGUUAGCUUAGAAAACUUUUCACCUAUGGCCUCGAAAAGUAGUUUUGUUCAAGUAGUUAUUCCUUAUUUUGAUGAUCAUUAUGACCAUUGGAGUACGCUAAUGGAGAAUUUCCUAUGGUCAAAAAAGUAUUGGCCAAUGGUUGAGGCAGGUAUCGAAGAGCCUGCAGAAGGAGAAACUUUGACUAAUGCCUGGAAAGUAAAGUUCGAAGCGAGAAUGCUGAAAGAUUUGAAGGUGAAAAAUCAUCUCUUUCAAGCUAUUGAUUGUCCCAUCUUGAAAACUGUUCUUUGCAAAAAAACUUUCAAGGAUAUAUGAGAUUCCAUGAAGAAAAAGUAUCGAGGCACUGCCAGAGUGAAGUAAUAACAUCUUCAAGCCUUGAGGAGGGACUUCGAGACUCUAUAGAUAAAUGAAUGGGAAUCUAUCACUAGAAAUUGUGUUAGAACCAUGGAGAUUUGUAAUAGGAUGUAGUUCUAUGAUGAGAAGAUGGAGGGUGCCACCAUAGUGGAGAAGAUUUUGCGCUCCAUGAUGCUGAAGUUUGACAUGUCGUUUGCAUCAUUGAAGAGUCAAAAUACAUGAUGAAUUGUCUCUUGAUGAGUUGUAAAACUCUUUAUUUGUACAUGAGCAAAAGAUGAAUUUUACUUCAGCCUUCAAGGAACAAACUUUGAAGGCUUUUACUUUUUUUUUCAAUUUUAGAGGAAUAGGUAAAGGUAGAGGUAUAUAUUGGGAAAUGUGCCCAUAUUUUAGUAAACAUGUAACUACUUUUUAUUUAUUUAAACAGUGAAUUAAUAAAUAAAAUUAAUUUCACAUUUCGCUAUUAUGUCUUUUGUAUUUUCGGUCUUUUAUAUUUACAAUACAUAGCAAAAUUGUGACAAGCAAAUAUUAGCUCAUUGAUUGUCUAAAGUUCAAACUGAAGAUAAGUGACAUUGUAAAGAAUAUUUACAUUGUGAGAAAGACUACUUAUUUUAGUAGAUAAUCUAAAUUAGUUCGUAAUCUCGUAAAAGAAUCAAAGUGAGCAUUUGAUUCACAUACUGAGAAGGAUUAUUAUGUCUUCUACAAUUCCAAUUGGGGAGAUUGCUAGUCUUGGCUAUUGGAGCAGUUGACUCCAUUAGUAGAGAAAUAGAUGUAUUCAUUGGUAGAAUGAUACAUUGGACUGGACCCAAAAUGAAUUAAUUUUGAAUCUAUUUGUGAAUUAAUUCACUUGUGACGUUCGUGGUGUGGUUUACCCAAAUCUUAAGUUAGUCACUGACCAUGCGUAUCGAACCCAUGUGCUUUGAUACAAGUGGAGGCUUAUGCUCUAAGGAUGAUCGAGCCCACAGUCGGUAUGUUGGGUACAUAACUUGUGUAUGACAUGACUUUACUAGCAACAAUGUAAUUCAUAGCUCAAUUAAAGAGUUAAUGAUAUCCUCUCAUUGGUAUUGUAUGGAUUGAUAAAUAUAAAACGUGGCCACGGGGUGCUUAUUCUCGAAAGAGUAAUUUAUUACAGUCAUUUGUUGACAGUGGUCGUAUUAAUCAUUAAGAAGACACAAUGGUGAUAAUGAGAUAAAAUAAGAUUGUAUUAAGUGAACGACUUUAACUCAAAGGAAUCAAUGAUAUCAUAUGAGGGUAACACACAUCAUGAGGUCAUUGGACAAAGCAGUUGGAUGAAUUGCUUUCUUAAAGAGUAUACAAUAAGGAGUUUUCAAUUAUGGCACUUCUUAUGGACUGACUCUUGAUUAAGUAAUUGCGAAUUAUCGUAACGAUGCUUUUGGACAUAAUUACAAUCACUAGAGCCUAAUUGUAUAUGUUCAAUUGGUCCAUCCGUUAGCUCAACAAAAGCUUGAUCAUUCUGCAUUUGAAUCAGAAGAAAAUUCUACGACUUUAGAAAUGAUUUAAUUGAGUCAAUUUAUUCGAUAUGGAAUUAAAUUAGGUGGUCGUGAGAAUUGUUCAACUAGAGAAUUUGAUUAAAAAUUUUUCUUAAAAAAUUAAUUUGGAAAAUCUAAGUGAUUUUUGGGAAAAUUAAUUUUGAUCAAGUAAAAUUAAAUUAAUCAAAUCAAUUAAAAUUAAUAUGAUAUUUUUGGAAAUUAAUUUUCAAGUAAGACAAUUGGCCCAAUAGGUAAUUGAACUUAAAAAUUGGACCUGAGAUCGUGAGCGUGAGAGCCCAAAACCAAGACCAAGACCAUGACCCAAAAACUUGUCGAACUGGGCCCGGUAUGUGAAACCGGGCCGACGGUCCAAUUGGUGACUAGAUUGAAUUGGUCGGGUUGACAUUGACCCGGACCAAACCAGCUUAGGGUGCCGUAAGGGUGUCCCACCUACGUCACCGGACAUGUCGGUGUGGGUGGCUGCAACGGCGGCGUCCUGGUGACUGGCGGCAGUUGGUCAUCGAUGAUUGAGUUGUGGAAGGGUUACUCUCCUAUUGGGACUCUACCAGAGAAUUUGAUUUCAAAUUAACUACUUCAAAAAUAAUAUUAUUUUAAUAGUUUAACAUUAAAUUCAAUUUAAUGUUUAUCUUGUAGAUAAAUAUUUUAUUAUUUUAAUAAGAUUUAAUAUUAAAUUUAAUCUAAUAUUUAUCUUGAUAAAUAUUAGAUUAUAUUAAUUGAAUAUUAAAGUGAUUUAGUUUAAUCAUAGUUGAACUCUCUAAACUCUCCUUAUAUAAAGAGAGCAUUGAGUCAUUAUUUACACACACUUGAGUUCAAGAGAAAGUUGUAGAGAGAAAAUUUUCUGAAGAGAUUAUUCUAAAAAAUUUCUAGAGAUAUUUUUUUGAUUUAUAACUUGACCCAAAAGUUUAGAGAGAUUGCAAAAUUACCCCACUGGUAAUUUUUAUGAAAAAUUUUCUAAUUCGAAGUGAGCUCACAUUUGGCAGACAUGAGCUUGAGGAUUGUGGAGAAGGCUACUCGGUCGAAGCGCUAAUCCUAGACGAAUCAAAAAGAUAUAAUUUGGAUUAAGUGUUUAUUAUUUUAGAUAUCACAACCUAAAUUUAUUUUCCUCUGUAUUUUCUAAAUCUUUUUUCCAACAAUAUAGGGAGAAGUUUGAGCUAAUAGAAAAAGUGGCAACAGAAAUGGUAGCAAGAAUUACAAAAUCAAUGAUGACCAAAGUAAGGAUAAAUGACGAGAUUUUGAUAAAUCUAAAAUAAAAUGCUUCAUAAGGUAAAAAUUUGGUCAUUGUCAUUUUGAAUGUUAUUUUAGGCUACUAAAUGAUAAGGAUGAACAAGCGACAUUCACUGGACCAGGAGCGCCCCCUCUAGUAAAAGCUUCCACUGCCGGUUAACCAAUCACAUUGAAAAGGAAGCUGAGACAAAUGUAUAAUAUGUGGAUAUAGGUUGUAGUAUUUUUUUCGUAUUUAAAUGAUAAUUUUCGUUGUAGAAUCACCUCUGGUGAUUAUUGUACUGUCGAUUUCAUAAUUAAAAUUUUACAUGAAAUUUAAUGUUUUCUAAAAACCUUUGUUUUUGAAGACUUUUGUUACUAUACCCCGCUCCAUAUAAGAUCCAUCACCGUCAAAUGACAAAAAGUAAUUCAAUGCACUUUAAUUGUGCCAGCGGCUCCAAGCCCAUUGAUUUCACUAUAAAUUCCAUGCUUUUAGGUUAACCAUCUUCACACAAUCAAAUCAAGCUAGUUCGCAAUGGCUUCCACUACCAAUUCCCCAUCAACCCUCCUCACCCUUCCUAAUUUCUCCAUUCAAACUUCAACAUUCCUUCCCAAAACAUCUCAAGGUUCCAUAUUUAAGAAGAAAAAGCCUUUCAACUUUAACUCCAAAAGAGUAGUGUCAUGCAAAGCCAGCAAUGGGAAACAAAACGAUGCAAAUCACACUUCUUUUCUCAAUAGGUUCGAUAGAAGGGACAUCUUCCUUGGCCUUGGAGGAAGUCUCUACGGUGCAACCAGCCUUGUUAGAGACCCAUUUGCAUUGGCAGUCGUCCCAAUCGAGCCUGACCUGUCCAGCUGUGGGGAAUCAACCGUAGAUGCCGGUACAACCUGCAUGAAUGUCCCUUGCUGCCCACCAAAGUUAAAAGAUUCAAAGAUCAUAGACUUCGAACCACCUUUAGGUUGCAAGAUCCAUUAUCGGCCGGCAGCACAUUUAGUUGAUCGUGAUUACCUGUAUAAAUUUGAAUCGGCAAUGGAGAGAAUGAAAGCUCUCCCUGUGGAUGAUCCACGUAAUUUCAUGCAACAAGCCAAUAUUCAUUGUGCCUAUUGCAAUGGGGCUUAUAGUCAAGUGGGGUUCCCCGAUCAAAAACUUGAAGUUCACUACUCGUGGCUUUUUUUCCCAUUCCAUAGGAUGUAUCUGUAUUUCUUUGAGAGGAUAUUGGGCAAGUUGAUUGGUGAUCCAGAUUUCACAAUGCCAUUUUGGAACUGGGAUUCUCCUGUUGUUCCAAUAGGGUCGGAAGCGUGUAAAUUAUUGUACUAAAAAAUCACACAAAGUUCAAUUCCCAGGGAAGAGAGGUGGAUCACAUGGAUCUCUUAAAUACCAAGUCUUUCCUUAGACAGAAUAUCCCUUCUAUAGUAAUUUAAUAGCACAAUUAAAUACUACUAUUAUACCCUCAAAUAUUGAAAGAAAAAUAGGACAAGAAAGAACACAAGAGAUUUAACGAGGUUCGGUAAAUUAUACCUACGUCCUCGGGCACUAACACCAGAUGAUAACUUUACUAUCUCCAAAGUAUUACAAACAAAUAGAAUUCCUUAAGAAUUCUCAAAUGGGAGAAGAGAGAAAACUAAGAGAGAAAGAUUGGUUGGGAUGAAUUGAAAUGAGAAAUGAGAAGGCCUAUUUAUAGUUGAGGUUUAAGGAUCAAACAAUAAAUAGCCCAUUAUCUCAAGGACCAAAAAAAAAUUAUCCCAUGCCACUUUUUCAAAGUCAACUUUAGGGUGCUAAACUUGCACCACUUGGAUUGUUUUCCAUUAAAAUUGUCUGCCAUUAAUCAUAAUGUUAACAAUCUCCACCUUGAAGAUUUGAUUAGGAUAAUCACAUCUUCACACACUUCCUUCAACUCCCCAAAUUUGAUAAAGCUAUCUUUUGUAGUGCCUCCAAAUGCACUCUCGAGCGCAAUACACCUGAAGGUGCUCAAAUUCUCAGGAUGUUAAUCAAGUUCAAACAAUGAUUAAACUUGAUUGUUGUUACCACAUUGGUCAUCAUAUCUGCGGGAUUAUCUGCUGUUGGAAUCUUCUGAAGUAGAAUUUUUCCUUUUUCAAAGACUUCCCGCACAAAGUGAUAUCUUACGUCGAUAUGUUUGGUUCUUGAAUGAUAGACUUGAUUUUUCGCUAAAUGAAUAGCGCUCUGACUGUCACAAUAUAAACUUAUGUGACUUUGAACAACUCCUAAGUCUUUCAACAAUCCAUUAAGCCAAAUAGCCUCCUUAACAGCUUCUGUAACUGCCAUAUAUUCUGCCUCUGUAGUAGACACAGCUACUGUAGACUGUAAGGUAGAUUUCCAACUCACUGGGGCUUUCGCAAGAGUAAACAGAUACCCCGUAGUUGAACGACGUUUAUCUAAAUCACCAGCAAAGUCGGAAUCAACAUAUCCAACUACAAACUGACCAAGUGCUUCAUCCUGUUCAAAAAUUAAACCAACAUCUACGGUUUUUCGAAGAUACCGUAGAAUCCAUUUCACAGCUUGCCAAUGUCCUUUUCCAGGAUCAUGCAUAUACCUGCUCACAACUCCAACAGCUUGUGAAAUGUCAGGCCUCGUACACACCAUCGCAUACAUCAAACUCCCAACUGCAUUAGCAUAUGGGACUUUCACCAUAUAUUCUCUUUCAUCUUUAGUCUUCGGAGAUAAUUGAGCACUAAGUUUCAAAUGAGAAGCAAGUGGGGUACUUACAUGUUUUGUGUUUUCAUUUACACCAAAACAUUGUAAUACCUUUUUCAGAUAUUGCUUCUGAUUUAAACAGAACUUGCCUCUCGGUCUAUCUCUACUUAUCUCCAUGCCGAGAAUCUUCUUAGCCUCACCUAGAUCUUUCAUCUCGAACUCUUGAUUCAACUGAGCCUUCAGCUUAUCUAUCUCAUUUUGGCUCUUCGAAACGAUUAACAUAUCAUCAACAUACAAGAGUAGAUAAAUGAAAGAUCCGUCAUGCAGCUUCUGCAAAUAUACACAAUUGUCAUAUUUGCUUCUUGUGUACUUCUGCCUUCUCAUAAAGCUAUCAAAUCGCUUGUACCACUGCCUCGGGGAUUGCUUCAAUCCAUAUAGCGAUUUGUUAAGCUUACAAACCCAAUUUCUACCACCAGCAUCUGUGUAUCCUUCGGGCUGAGUCAUAUAGAUCUCCUCUUCUAACUCACCAUGCAAGAAAGCCGUCUUAACAUCAAGUUGAGCUAGCUCCAAAUUCAACUGUGCUACCAAGGCCAACAAAAUUCUAAUGGAGGAAUGCUUCACAACAGGGGAAAAUACAUCAUUGUAGUCAAUUCCCUCCUUCUGAGCGUAGCCUUUAGCUACCAAUCUUGCCUUGUAGCGAAUAUCCUUCUUGGUAGGAGAUCCAUCUUUCUUUGCGAAUACCACUUGCAUCCGAUUGCCCUUUUACCUUUCGGUAAUUGCGCCAACUCCCAAGUAUUGUUCUUCCGGAGAGACUGCAUUUCUUCAUCCAUGGCGCUUUUCCAUUUAUCACUUUCUAAGCUUUGCAUUGCUUCUUGAGAAGUGAUAGGAAUAUCAUCAACAACGGGAAGGGCGUAGGCCACUAUAUCAGUAAAUCGAGCAGUUUUACGAAUUUCUCUCCGUGGCCUUGCAACUGCAACUGGUUCUGGUGUACUUAGUGGUUCUUGGGUCAGAACCUCUUCAACCUCUAAUUCCUCCAUUGUGGCUGGAGAAUUAGACUUAUUAACUGGGCAAAUCCCCAUCUGCUCAAACUCCACCUGUUUUGGAGUACACUCCACCUGCUGUGGAGUAUUGCUCGUCUGAAUAUCUUUAUCUGCUACCUUUUUCAAUGUGGCAGAUUCAUCAAAGGUAACAUCUCUGCUACAGAUCAUUUUCUUUAUGCUUAAGCACCAAAGACGAAAUCCCUUCACUCCAGAAGUGAUUCCCAUAAAGAGAGCUUUCUUUGCCCUUGGAUCUAACUUUGACUUCUUCACAUGGUAAUAUGCAGUGGUUCCAAACACAUGUAAGGAAUCAUAAUCUGUAGCCGGUUUUCCAGACCAUACCUCCAUAGGAGUUUUUCUUUCUAAUGCAGAUGAUGGCAAAUGAUUAACAAGAUGGCCAGCGUAUGUCACAGCCUCAGCCCAAAAUUGCUUGCCCAACCCAGCAUUGGACAACAUACAUCGAACUUUCUCCAGCAAUGUUCGAUUCAUACGCUCUGCCAAUCCAUUCUGCUGUGGUGUAUCCCUAACUGUGAAGUGUCAAACAAUACCAUACUCUUGGCACACAUCGAAGAACGGAUCACUUUUAUAUUCCCCUCCAUUGUCCGUCCUAAGCCGCUUGAUUUUCUUGCCAGUCUGGUUUUCGAUCAUAGUUUUCCAUUUAAGAAAAACUCUAAGCACUUCAUCCUUAGUUCUCAUGGUAUACACCCAAACUCUUCUGGAAAAGUCAUCAACAAAAGUAACAAAGUAGUGUUUUCCUCCCAAUGAAGGUGUCUUGGAAGGCCUCCACACAUCUGAGUGAACAUAUUCCAAAAUAUCUUUUGUAUUAUGGAUAGCAGUACCGAAUUUCACUCUCUUUUUCUUUCCCAGAACACAAUGCUCGCAAAAUUUUAAUUUACAAGCCUUUGCACCUUUCAACAAUCCUUGCUUUGCCAGAAUUUGCAAGGAUUUUUCGCUGGCAUGUCCCAACUUCAUAUGCCACAACUGUAUUGAGUCCAAUUCUUUGUUGCCGAAAGCUACAGCGACUGCUCCAAUAACUGUACUACCUUGGUAGUAAUACAAGUUAUUUUUCCUGAUGCCCUUCAAUAUCACAAGUGCGCCAGAUGUCACUUUCAAAACCUCAUCUCUCAUAGUAACAACUGAACCAUUGGAUUCCAAGGCUCCCAAUGAGAUGAGAUUUUUCUUCAAACUAGGCACAUACCGAACAUCAGUCAGAACUCUGGUUGAUCCAUCUUUAUUCUUUAAUUGGAUUGAACCUAUCCCAACAGUUUUACAGGCAUUGUCAUUGCCCAUAUAAAUAACUCCUCCAUUUAGUUCUACUAAAUCAGAGAACCACUCCCGGUUAGGGGACAUAUGAUAGGUACAACCCGAAUCCAAUAUCCACUCAUCUGAAUGGAACGACGAUGAUGAUGCAACCAGUGAUAGUUCAGAGUCACUGGUAUCAUGCUUUGCAACACAAGCAUCUACAGCAGCUUUUCCCUUAUUCUUCAGCUUUGGACAAUUUUUCUUCCAGUGGCCUUUCUCAUGACAAAAAGCACAUUCAUCUUUCCCGAGUCUGGACUUUGACUUUGAUCUCCCCUUUUGAGUUUUCUUCCGAGUGUAUGAAUGACCUCAGACUACUAAAGCUUCUGUAUCUCUGAUUGAGUUUUUCUGUUUGUCAUUCUUUCUCUGUUCAUAACUGUAUAAGGCCGCACAGACUUCGCUCAGAGAUAUAUCACUCCUGCCAUGAAGUAGAGUAGUUUCUAGGAACUCAAACUCCUCAGGAAGUGACCCCAACAGCAUCAAAGCCAAAUCUUCAUCUUUGAAUGUCUCAUCCAUAUUCAGCAAAUCAGUGACUAACUGAUUAAAUUUGGUGAUGUGAUCAUUCAUUGUGGUACUUGGGACGUAUGUGAAGCGAAACAGUCUUUUCUUCAAGUGGACCUUAUUUUGACUGUUUUUCUUCAAAAAAUUUUCUUCAAGUGCCACCCACAACUUAUUUGCAGAAGUCUCCUUUGAAAAAGCAUACAUCUGCUCUCGAGAAAGGCAUGAUCGAAUUGUGCCAUAUGCCAACCGAUUGAUCGCCUUCCAAUCUUUCCCCUGUACAUCAUCUGGUUUCUCUUCAUCAAUGGCAAUGUCUAGACCCUGCUGAAAAAGGGCAUCUAGAACCUCACUUUGCCAUAUACCAAAAUGGCCCGUGCCAUCAAAGAUCUCCACGGCCAGUCUUGCAUUUGCAAUUGUCGGUCUUGUCCACAUGGACGAUGUUGAAGCUCCUACACCGACCGUUUUCUCCAUAAUCUUUCAAUAUACCUAAGGAAAUCUUUUCUGAUGUGGAAGAUCAGUUCAAACUGCAACCACAGAGCAUACUACGAUUAACCUUCGGCUCUUGAUACCACUUGUUGUUCCAAUAGGGUCGGAAGCGUGUAAAUUAUUGUACUAAAAAAUCACACAAAGUUCAAUUCCCAGGGAAGAGAGGUGGAUCACAUGGAUCUCUUAAAUACCAAGUUUUUCCUUAGACAGAAUAUCCCUUCUAUAGUAAUUUAAUAGCACAAUUAAAUACUACUAUUAUACCCUCAAAUAUUGAAAGAAAAAUAGGACAAGAAAGAACACAAGAGAUUUAACGAGGUUCGGUAAAUUAUACCUACGUCCUCGGGCACUAACACCAGAUGAUAACUUUACUAUCUCCAAAGUAUUACAAACAAAUAGAAUUCCUUAAGAAUUCUCAAAUGGGAGAAGAGAGAAAACUAAGAGAGAAAGAUUGGUUGGGAUGAAUUGAAAUGAGAAAUGAGAAGGCCUAUUUAUAGUUGAGGUUUAAGGAUCAAACAAUAAAUAGCCCAUUAUCUCAAGGACCAAAAAAAAAUUAUCCCAUGCCACUUUUUCAAAGUCAACUUUAGGGUGCUAAACUUGCACCACUUGGAUUGUUUUCCAUUAAAAUUGUCUGCCAUUAAUCAUAAUGUUAACAUCUCCCUGUGGGAUGACUAUGCCUCAGAUAUAUUUAGACCCUUACUCUCCAUUGUACGAUGAAAACCGCAAUUUGGAGCAUCAGCCGGACGUUUUGGUUAAUCUUAAUGACGGUAAAUCUUUUGUAAAACCAAAAAAAAAGGAUGAUUUUUAUGAAUUAGCAAAGAGGGAACAAAUAAAUAGUAAUCUCUAUGUGAUGUAUCAGCAAAUGGUACGGUCCGCCAAGACCGCUUCUUGUUUCCAUGGAGCGGCGUACCUUGGCGGUUGUGUAUCCGAAACCGAUAUCGGUUGUACUCCCGAACCGAGAGGUGGUACCAUUGAGAACGGUGCUCAUAUCGCCGUUCACAAGUUCGUUGGUGCCAAGAAUCCACCUUAUAACGAAGACAUGGGGAAUUUCUAUUCUGCUGGUAGAGACCCUUUGUUCUACGCUCAUCAUGGCAAUGUUGAUCGAAUGUGGAACAUUUGGAAGACAUUGCCAGGGAAGAAGCGACAUGAUUUCAACGAAAAUGUUUGGCUCAAUUCUUCGUUUCUUUUCUACGAUGAGAAUACAAAUAUGGUUCGUGUUAAAGUUCGCGAUUGCCUUGACUCUAAAACUUUGGGGUACGAUUACCAAAGUGUUGAUAUUCCAUGGCUUAGAAGCAAGCCAACAC